AUUGAACGCUGGCGGCAGGCCUAACACAUGCAAGUCGAACGAGUGGCGGACGGGUGAGUAAUGUCUGGGAAACUGCCUGAUGGAGGGGGAUAACUACUGGAAACGGUAGCUAAUACCGCAUACGAUCGGAUGAGCCCAUAUGGGAUUAGCUAGUAGGUGGGGUAAUGGCUCACCUAGGCGACGAUCCCUAGCUGGUCUGAGAGGAUGACCAGCCACACUGGCACUGAGACACGGCCCAGACUCCUACGGGAGGCAGCAGUGGGGAAUAUUGCACAAUGGGCGCAAGCCUGAUGCAGCCAUGCCGCGUGUGUGAAGAAGGCCUUCGGGUUGUAAAGUACUUUCAGCGAGGAGGCGUUACCCGCAGAAGAAGCACCGGCUAACUCCGUGCCAGCAGCCGCGGUAAUUC
rnacentral:rRNA from 1 species